rnacentral:tRNA from 1 species
GCCUGGGUGGCUUAGUCGGUUAAGCAUCUGAUUUCAGUUCAGGUCAUGAUCUUAAGGGUCAUAAGUUCGAGCCCCAUGUCAGGCU